AAUCAACGCUGGCGGCGUGCCUCAGACAUGCAAGUCGAACGAUUAGAGCUCUCUUCGGAGAGUGUAUAGAGUGGCGCACGGGUGAGUAACACGUAAGUAAUCUACCUUUGAGUGGGGAAUAACGUCCGGAAACGGACGCUAAUACCGCAUAAUGCAGCGGCAUCGCAAGAUGACAGUUGUUAAAGAUUUAUCGCUUGAAGAGGAGCUUGCGGCAGAUUAGCUAGUUGGUAAGGUAAUGGCUUACCAAGGCUACGAUCUGUAACCGGUCUAAGAGGACGGUCGGUCACACUGACACUGAAUAACGGGUCAGACUCCUACGGGAGGCAGCAGUCGGGAAUUUUGGGCAAUGGGCGAAAGCCUGACCCAGCAACGCCGCGUGAAGGAUGAAGUAUUUCGGUAUGUAAACUUCGAAAGAAUGGGAAGAAUAAAUGACGGUACCAUUUAUAAGGUCCGGCUAACUACGUGCCAGCCGCCGCGGUAAUAC
rnacentral:rRNA from 1 species